ACUCCUAUUGUUGGUAGAAUUAUUUUGGUGCGUCCACAUUUGUAUCAUUUGCGCGAUCAGAUCUCCGAUCAGAUCUCCUUCGCGAUCAUCGCGCCUUAUCAAGUAUGCGUAUUAUAGUGUGGACGCC